rnacentral:lncRNA from 1 species
AACCAUACCAUGUGUGAUGGCCAAGUAUUAGUGCAAUUCAUGGCAGCGGUGGCUGAGAUGGCCCGCGGAGCCAACGCCCCAUCUGUCCCUCCAGUGUGGGAAAGACAUGUCCUUAAUGCAACUGAACCACCUCGAGUUACAUGCAGACACCGAGCGUACGAGGAGGUAGCUGGCUCCACGAGCUCAAUUCUUACCCAUGAUCAUCUGGUUCAUCGUUCAUUUUUCUUUAGCCCUUCAUAUAACUGCUCUUCGAAGAUUGGUCCCACCUCACCUCAGCCAUUGUUCUAGUUUCGAAAUAUUAACGGCAUGUCUUUGGAUAUGUCGGACCAUUGCCCUCCAACCAGAUCCUAAUGAAGAAAUGCGCAUAAUUUGCCUCGUCAAUGCUCGUGAAAAAUUCAACCCUCCGUUAUUACCAAGAGGUUACUAUGGCAAUGGUUUUGGUCUUCUAGCAGCAGUGGCCACUGCGGGGGAACUUUCGAGAAAGCCAAUUGGAUAUGCUUUGGAGAUGGUAAGGAAGGUCUCUUUUUACUGUGCCAGGGACCUACAUAGUGUCGGACUUGAGACGUGCCGGACUUGAAAAGGUAGAUUUCGGAUGGGGAAAUGCUAUCUAUGGUGGGACUGCAAAAGCCAUCUCUGAACUUGCAAGCUUUUAUAUUCCGUUUACAAAUAAGAAAGGAGAAGAUGGGAUCGUUGUACCAUUUUGCUUGCCAUCUCCUGCUGUGGAAAGAUUUUACAAGGAGCUAAAGGGACAGCUAGUUAGCGGAGGAGCAAAUUCCAAGUUAAUCGUAUCUUCUUUGUAAGUUAAAUUGUUUACUCUUAUUUUCUAUGUACCACGUAUCAUUUAUUUAUGUUUCGUUCGAAUUUCAUUUUUUAAUAUUAGUACCUUUUAUGUCCAUUCAGCAUGUGCUAUGACUAUUAAUAAUAUGAGUGUUUAUUUUUGUAUUUCUUGUUAGGGCUGUUAUUUUUUAAAAAAAAUUAAAUUGUAGUUGGAUAUAAAAUAAUCAAAGAGGAUAUUAAUUUUUUUUCAUACAUGACAUUGAACAUUUAAUAUAUAUGUAAGAUCAACAACUUGUAACAGAAAACUUUUAUAAUUCUCUCAUCAAAUUUAAAGUAGUUUGACAAGGAUAAUGAUUGUUGUUGAAACAUUAUUUUAUAGGUUUUACAAUCGUUUAUGGUAAAAAAAAAAAAAAAAAAAAAAAAAAAAAAAAACACAAUAUCUUUAACAGAGGUUUUAAGAAGGGAAGAGGUCAAUGAAAGAAAGUGUGAAAUAUUGAUGGAAACAAGAAGACGAUGAGAAACAGUCAGGGAGGAGAGGAGGGAUAUUUUGGUCAAGAGAUAAUUGAACGGUUUUCAAUAUUCAAUAAGUAGGUAUGUAUGGCAUGCUUUUGAUGAAUCUCUAUGGUGGGACCACAAUUAAUAUAUGGGUAUCACAUUCUUCCACCAACAUUUUAUUGUUUUUCAAACAAUUAUUAAUUGUGGAUACACCACACCACAAUUUCUACCACAAAAAUAAAUGCCCUCUAACAAAUCUAUGCUUGCCAGCUCCUACCAUGGAAAGACUUUUCAAGGAGCUUGAAGACAUGCUUAAGGUCUGAUACAAAAAAAAACAAAAAAAGAAUGAGAGGAUGAAUAAUACUUAACACGUAUCCUUCAUGCAUGUUUCGUUUGAAUUUUAUUUUUAAUAUUAGGACGACAUUUACCUUUUAUGAAUAUUAAUAAAUAAUUUGUCUUGGUUAUGAUUAAGUAAAACUAUAAAUGAGUGUGUUGUAAACACAAGGUUGAUGAGUCUGUCCUUGAAGAAAAGGACUCUUUUGUAUAUUUGUAACUAUUGGAUUGUACCGUAACUUACAACCUCCCUCCCUAAAUUAAUGUUUGAAUUGAUAGAUGGAUAGAUAACAUUAAAAACCUAUAAUUAAUUAACCCUGACGAGUUAUAGGGAAAAAGAAAAGUCGAACACAAACUUAAAUAGAAAAUGAGAAAUGAAUGAAUCAUACAAUAAUGUGUUUACAUCAAAAUUAGAUAUUUUUUUAGAUUAACAUUAGUGUUUAGUCUAGUUUCCAUAUACCAUAACUAAUUCUAUAGAUCCUGAAGUUAACGAUCAUGUAAAUUUUUAGUGUCCUUGAGAUUUAUGGGAUUCAAACUAGUAACCUUCAAUGAACAAAUUCGGGACUUGACUAGUUAAACUACAUCUUUCAUGGUUAAAAAAUAGAUAUUUAGUACUUAAAGUGGCACACACUAUGCCACGGGCUCACCUUUUAUACUUAUAAAAAAUUUAGGUCCUAAUUCUAGAAGGACCUAAGACUAUUUUGGUCUUGUUUGGCCAUGACUCAAGGUUAUUUGGAUCCAGAACCCGGUUAGACCCAAGAUUAUUUUGGAUCCUGCAGCCUACAGGACUUAAGGUUAUUUUAGAUCCUGCACCAGGCAGGACCAAGGCUAUUUUAUAUCCUGCACAGGGCAGGACCCAAGGCUACUUCGAUUCUGAACAUGGUCGAACCCAAGGCUAUAUUUGAGUCCUAUAGGCUUUAGGACCAAGGCUAUGUUGGGUCUUGCAGCCUCUAGUACCCGAGGAUACUUUGGGUCUUGCACUGGACCCGAAGCUAUUUUGAGUCCUGCACGACUCGGACACAAUGCUAUUUAUGUCUUGAAUAGGCCCGACCCAAAGCUAUUUUGGGUCAUGCACCUGGCCGAACCAAAUGCUAUUUUGGGUCCUGCCCCGACCCGACCCAAGGCUAAUCUGAGUCCAGUAGAGGCCAAGAUCCAAGGCUAUUUGGGGUCUUGCACUCGGCCAAACCCAAUGCUAUUCUGGGUUCUGCCUAGCCGGAACGAAGGUUAUUUUGGGUCUUGACCGGCUCGGAUCCAAGGCUAUUAAGGUCCUAACCCAGCCAAGUGACACGACCAAAAGAUUGAUGUCUUCUCCCAAGUGCAGGAAUGUCGAAGUAAUAAAUAACCCGGCAAGACUGGGGUCGAACCACAGAGAGGUUAAUUGUAUAAAUUAUAAAUAACAAGACAACAACAACAACAACAACAACAACAACAAUAAUAACAAUAAUAGUAAUAAUAAUAAUAAUAAUAAUACUCAAUACGUGGCGUUGUUAUAUCUGAGAAUGAUCUAAAAGAUCGAAUCACAGGUUUCCAGCCUAUAUACUGAGUUUAUGAAAAGAUCAAAAAGAUAUAUUAUAUAAUAUAAAUAGAAUGUAAAUAAUAAUAAUAUUAAUAAUAAUAAUAGUAAUAAUAAUAAUAGUAAUGUAGUAGUAGUAGUAGUAGUAUAUAAUAAUAAUAAAGAAGAAGAGAAGAAAUUAAUGAGAACUUUGAGAUGGAAGAUUAAUGUAAGGAUUAAACAAUGAUAAAAACAAAUGUCAAGGUUAGAGGAUCCACCAAUGGUAUUUCAAACAAGUAUAGUAUAAACUCUUAUUACUCAAUUUGGAAACCACACACGAAGGAGGUUCCAAUCGGAUGAUUUGUCAUUAAUAGCUCAUUAUAAAUUAUUAACAUGAUCAUAUUAAUUAUCUUAUUUACAUAACACCAAACUUUUAAAUAUUGUCAGGAAUUCAUGAUGUUAACAACAAAUCAAGUUCCUUUCAUAGCCCAGGUGUAGGUAAUACCAUACGGUUGGGCUAUGAGAGUGCCAAGCAUUUGUUGUACCAAGUGUUAUACAACACAAAUCUAGAUUAACCAUUUAACAAGCAAGGUAUUAAGAAUUAGUAAGAUAAAAAGAUAAGACAUGUUAAUAUUAAACAUUAAGGUCCAUGUUGAGUUUACACUAUACUUAUUCUUACACCAUUAGUGUAACCUUUUCACCUUGACAUAAUAAACUUAGCUAAACAUAAUGAAGAAGAGAAACAUAAAUAAACAAAACAAGAACAUAAAGAAAAUACAAGUUAACUAAGUAAAGGAAAGGAAAUGAAAAGCAUAAACAAGAUAUUAAUGAAAGCAAAACUUAAAAUUACAAAAAAUAUAAAGAGAGAAAUAAAGAGCAUGAACUUGAUCUGAACAACCAAGCCCUAAAUACAUGGCAAAUGCCUCCUUUUAUAGGCCAAAAUUGGAAUUAUUGAUUUGAUGACUAAUUGUUGAGUGGGUGGCCAACUUUUGACUUGUGAAAAUCCUUAUCUUCUUGUCUGAAUAAAACAAAAAUGCUAGCAUCAGAACUGGGUCCACUUGAAAACAUGAAAGUUGUAGGAAAUUGUCUUAAAAAAAAUGAGGUCAUUUGGACUUCUAGAACUAGAUAUGGGCCAAACACUGAACAGUGUUCGGGCUGCAGGACAAAUUCAGACUUCUCCGUUGUUGCUAUAAUUAGGACUUGAAAACGGCCUUUUUAGAUCUUGAUGAAAACAUGAAAGUUGUAGGCCUAUAUCUUACUGAAUCUGUGUAAAAAUUUGAGAUCAUUUGGACAUCUAGAACUUGAGAUAUGACCCAAUUACCGAACAGUGUUUCAGUUUGGACUGCACCAACAUCUCUUUUCUAAGUUUCACCCUCUCUUUAUCUUCACACAAAUUUCAGUAGUUGAAUUUAUCAAUCAAUGCUUUGAUUUAUAGGGCUGCAUUUAAGAUGAAAAUUUACCAUAUAUUAGGGCAUUUUAUAGUAUUAGACUUGUUAUUAUAAAACAUGCUUUAGUUAAGGAGUUAUUGAUACUUUAAGUGCAAAAUGAUGAUAUAAAACAUUGAUAAAUAUGCAAUUUUAAGUACUAAUCACCCCCCCCAACCAACUUAUUACUAGUCCCUAGUAAUCAAAGCGUUAAAAUAGAAAAAUAAUUUGCAAAUUCUAUAAAGCAAGGCAUUCAUCAUUCAACUUACUUUAAUUUAUCUAGAUAAACAAACUCUCAUUAAAUUCAUAUAUCUGCUCAAUACCUCUUAAACAAGAUAUCACUAAACCUUUCUUUUGUGCUCAAAAUAUCAACAUAUAGUUAUGGGGCUUUACUUGGAAGAAAAGCAAAUUUGUGUUCUAAUGUUUAAGGUUAACUUCCUUAGGUUGAGAUUUUUUUUUUCUUUUUCUUUAUUUAGUUAUUUAUUUAUAUACACAUACAACUUGAAACACAAUGUAUCUUUAACUCAUGUAACGAGUUUUAGGCUAAUGACUCCCAGACCAGCUGGUCUUAGGGCAUUAGGUGUUGAGACACCCCUACGAGCUUAGCAACUCGGGUUGCAGAUACUUAUACGUAGAUAGUGCAAUGUUUGAUUCCCUUAAGCUUUUCUCCUCAACCCAUGUAACAAGCGUUGGGCCAAUAGCUCCCAAGUUAGUUGACUUUAUGGUAUUAAGUGUUAAAACACCCUUUCGAGCUUAAUUGCUUAGGUUAGGGAGGCUACGAAACCAAACUUAUCUACCUUUUUAUUAUCAUUAUUUUUUUUGUUUUUUUUUUUUUUGCAAAUUAUGUACUAUCCCUUUCCCUUAGUUGUUACCUUUAACAAAAGAACAUAAAUAAUGUAAUAAUCCAAUGUGCAACCCACAAUCAUAUGUUAAAGUGUGUGUGUGAAAAUGAAGAUUUAAAAAUACUUGUUAAAUGAGCAUAUGAGCAGAAUCAAGUGCUACCAAUACGAGAGUUUGUAAACCUGAAUAUUUCAAGAAGUAUUCUGAUAGACCUUGUUAAGAAUGUUUACUAAGAUGCGUCUCAAGAGUCACUUUAACAAAAGAACUCCUUUUACUCUGCCAUCCUAGUAACAACAGUUUUGCAAAUAGUUUAUGAAAUAGAAAACACAGUUUUUUUUUUUUAAAUAUCAACUACUACCCUUUCCCCCCAACCAAAAUGAGACAUUGUCCUCAAUGUCUUAAGGUAGAAAGAUAGAGUAUAGAAGACAUCACCUGAAAUAACGAACACUGACAAACCUGAAACACACUUAAACAAAUAUAAGAAACAACAAAACACAAUAAUAAAACCAAAAGACGCAAAUAUUUAUAGAUGAGAAAUUGAAAAUGCAAUCACACCACCUAUAUGUAGGCCAGUCAUAGUCUCACACUCUCUCUCUCUCUUUAUUUAUUUAUUUUGAAAAAGCAUGUGUAUGUACAGGUAUUUGUGAUUGUGGCUCACAUCUUUCCUUGGUUUUACGUCCAAGAACGACUUAAACGCCCUCUAUGGGUCGGGGAUAGGCGUCCCAUCCAGUUUUCUUAAAAACUGGCAAACAAGGUCUUUUUUAGUCAGAUUCCCAAGACUAAGUCGAGCAUGUUUUUUAUGGAAUUGGGGCCAUAAAUCAUAAAUUACACGAUGCACAUCUCCACUAGGGUGCGUCUCAAGAGUCAAUAGAAGAUUAUCUAAAGACCCCUUACUCAGGCCAUCCUUAAUGAAUUGUAUUUUAUCUUCACGGUUUACAGAUACCAUUCCUAAAGAACGACAUGUCGCAUUACAAGUCCAUCUAGCACAUCGGUGACAGACUUUCAGUCGUUUUGCACGACGUUUCUUUGCAAAAGUGCUCUUACAUGUUCCAGGCAUGUAUGAAAUGAAAGAAUUGGAGGACUCACCUGAUAAUCGGACCUUUGCUUCAAUUAGCCAACGAAUAUCUUCAGGAAUUCCAUGGUUCAUUAAUAGCCUCAAUCUUUCACACCUAGCACGGUAAAUUUUUAUAAUCGGAUUCUGAGGCAGAGCGGGAAAAUAUUUUUUCAAUUUUUCAAGAGUGGUGUCCAUUUUCAAAUGAGAAUUGGAUUAGAGAUUCAAAGAAAGAAGAAAGAGCAGAGAAUUGCACAAUUAUAUACACAAAUAUCAGUUAUCAUGGGAAACUGAAAGCACCGACUUAAGAGUCACGGAGUACCGUUAUCCGCCAUUUGACCGGGGUGAGAGAAACUAGCAAAACAAAAAUCAAACCAAAAAGGAACACAAAACAAAUUGUGAGAAAAAUAAAAUAAUCAACCUUUAUCUAAAAGAUCAUUGAUAAAUAUGCAUAUAAAACCUUGAUAAAUAUGCACUUUUAAGUACUAAUCACCAGGACCCAAGGCUAUUUUGGGUUCUGCAUAAUGUUGGACCCAACAUAGAUUUUAUAAUAAUAAUAAUAAUAUUUAACUUGUCUAUCCAAGUUCUUAUAUUUUUUAUUAAUUUUUUUAAAAAAUGUAUGGUUUUUCUUCGAUGGUAAUAAUAAUUUUUUUUUUAAUUUACUAAUGAUAAUAAUAAUAAUUCAAAUAAUAAUAUUUGUUUAGUAAUACUUUGAAUUAUAAUAAAAAUAAUAAUACUAUAACUUCGGGAAAAAAAAUGAUUUUUUACACGUUAUCCGUUUGUUAUUUUUGUUUUGAUUAGGGGUACAAUGAUAUUUUACUUUUCUUUUUCAAAUAGUAAAAUACUUUUACUACCCUUAAAAGUAAACAAAUCAGAUAAUUAGUCUCCAGGUUUUUUUUCUUUUAAGAUUUUACAUUUUCUAGCACAAUGAAUUUUUUAAGAUAACCUUAGUUUCAAAUUUUAAUUAAUCUUUCUUUGGGGGAAUUUUCAUAUUUUAAAUAUAUAUAGUCUCUCAUAAUAAUUAAAAAAUAUUAUAAAAAAAGUCAGACAUGUGAGAGAAGCCACAUCAUUCCAGUGGAGUAAGCUCACUCCAAUGAGGUUAAAAGUCUGCUUCUGUAAUGUCAUUCAAUUAUUUAUCCUCUAAUUUAGUCCUCAGGUUUAUCUUUUAAUUUUUAUGAAAUUUAUUUCUCUUUUCAAUUUAGCCCUUCAAUCCAAAAUUAUCCAUUCUUUAUUUUUUUAAAAAAAGUUUGGUCCUCAAUUUUUUAAUUGAUAUUUUUUUUUUGAAUCAUUUUUUUAUAAUUGAUUUUUUUUUAAUUUUAUCAUUUGACAAUUGAUUUAUUAACAUUUGGGUUUCAUAGUUUUUCUAUGUUUGGUGUUUCUAGUCAAAUGGUUGGGUCACAAGUCCAAAUCGUUUUUUUUUUGACAUAUUUUCUUUUUCGAUCUCAUUACUUGAUGUUUAUUUUGAUUUUUAUUAGAGUAGGCUUUAUGGUUUUAUUUGUCUUUUUAUAAGAUUAUCUCGAUCUCAUGACGUAACUUAUGAGUUUGACAGGUUAACCUAAGUGAGCUCGCAUAUUUUUUUUUCUUUUAAUUAUUGUUUUUUCUUUUGGAUUCUUUUGUAUGAUUGCUUCUUUUUUUUUAUCCUUCAAUAUUUGAUCUGUUAGGAAUUAGUCUUCAUUGUUUUUCCAUGUUUAGUGUUUCCAGUCAAAUUGUCUGAGACAUAGGUUUUAUAGGUCAAUACGAGUCAACAUUGUUUUUUUUUUUCAUGAUUCAACAUUUAUUUUUAUUAUUUGAUAUUAUUUUUUCUCUUUCUUUAAAACACAUUUGUGUUGACUGAACCUUAAAUGUUUUCUUAGUUUUUUUUAUUCAACUUGCAGCAGAAUGUGGGUCGCGUGUAGAGAAUGAGACUGUGCUUAAAGAAAAGUACUCAAUUCCAAAUUUAUAAUUGUUGGAUAUUUUUUUUUAAUUCUACCAUAACCAACAACUAUGUGAUGCAACCUGCGUACCUACCAAUUCAAAUUAACCAAGCUUCAUAUUUAUGUUUGAAUUGAUGGAUUAAUUAACCUGCGAUUGAUGAGGGAUAGGGAAAAAGAAAAUCCAAACACCUACUUAGUAGAAAAUGAGAAAUGAUUGAAUGACACAAUUUCAAUUUGUGUGUUAACAUCAAUAUUCACAUGUGAAUUCGAUAAUAAUAUACUUAAAUAAGAAAAAAAAAUCAAUCAUGAAUAGUAUACCAACAAAAUUUGAACAGCUCUAAUCAAUCAAGAAAAUCCAAAAGAAAUUGAUCAUAAGACCAAGUGUCACGACAUACAAAACAAUAUGAUCGAUUGUAAGUAUUAAAAUUUUUAUGAAUGACUAGGAUGUUAAAUCCUACUCAAAGUUGGAAUCUCUUAUAAUUUAAAUUGACAAAGUUGUUUAGCUUAGUUAGGAAUUCAUAUGAUUAUCAACAAAUGAAAGUUUAGUUUGUAUUAAAAAUUCAAUAUACCUCCUUAUCUGAUAUAUGUUACCUAUAAAAUAUUAGAAUUAUAUACUUAGAUUAAAAUUCUAACACUAUAUGGAUUAAAAUAGGGUCAUCCAACUACUUUAAAAAAUGGCUAGCCCAUACAUGUCAUUGCUUUUAUUUACAACUUUAUAUAUCUUUUUUUUUCUUUCAAAUCAUUUUCAUGUUUACCUAUUGUUCUUCUCAUGUGAUGUUGCUUGGGAUAGAUAUGUAUUUCUUAAGAUUUAAAAUCUUGAAAUACCCACAAUUUAUUUAAUUUUAUGAGACUAUUACUUGUCUUUGCUUAUGUUCCUAGUUGUAGUUUCUUCUUAUUAGAAGGAAGAAAUUGAUAAUAGGUUACAUAAUUGAUCAGAAUAUUAAUGAUUAGUUAAUUAGUUGAUUAUGUUAGUUUUAAUAUGCCAUAUAACCAGGUGGUUGGUUACAUGUGAUAUUAUUAUAUUCAUGUAAAUAUAUAAUUAUUAUUAGUAAAGACUUAAUGUAUUUUUAAUAUUCAUAUAAUAUAAGAUUAAUGAAUCUAGAGUAAAGAUAAAGUCUAUGAGACAAAAAUAUUGUACAAAGAAAAUUAUAAAGUUUCUAUAAUUAUGAGAUUUUUAUUGCAUCAAAACAUUACUUCUAAUAUGUUCCUCGUUGAUACUCUCUUAAAUAUUGAACAUUCAUUAAAGCCGUAAAGAUUGAUACAUAUUAUGUUAUUUUCUUUAUGAAAGGAAGUAGUUGUUCUCAUAAGUUGAGGUAUAAGGGAUACCUAGAACUAAUAUGUAAGUUUUUAUCAUAAGACAUGUACACUAGAUUGACUUGCAUGAGAAUUCCAUAAAAAAAAGAUCACCAAUGUCUAUGGAAAAGCUCAUGUGACUGUUAUGUAAAUGAUCUUUAUACUUGAGAUUACUAAGUAAUCUUAUAUAGAGAAUGUUAUGUUUUGAUUUUAUUACUUUUUAUCUUAAUUAAGAUAACGAAGGGCAAACAUUGAGUAUAAUAUGAACUAUAUAAAGGUAUUUGAGUGAUCAAGAGAGCAUGAUCAUCACCUUAGAUGAAUUAUGAAAAAUGUUCUAUCUAUUCUCAAAUAGUAGUGACUGAGAAAUCCUUGGUCAAGAUGGAAUGAAAUUUUUAAAAGAGUUUUAAAUCUUAUUCAAAUGAUCAAUAACUAUUAUAUAAAGAAUAAACAUUAUUUAACAUGGUUGAUAUACUCUAUGUUUUUAUGUUAAAUUGAAACAAUAUUGAUAAAAGAAUAUUAAUUACACUGAGAAAUCGAUCACUGAAAGGCUAAGUCAAACCACUUAUGACUUUUCUAAUAUUUUAGGGAUCAUGACACGUUACUAGACGAUACACAUGAUCUUCAAAUAUAAAUUAAUCAAUUAUUGAAUUUGUAAUAAAUUAAAAUUAUUUAUUUAUUUAAUUAUAAUUGUGGCACCCGACAUCGUGGCGGCCCAUAAAAUAAUCCUUGAAUUAUGGAAAAAAGAACAUAUUUCUGGCAUCUUGUUCUUUUAGGAAAAAUAGUGUUGUUUAAGGAGUCGCCACCUAGUAUUAUGGUCACUAGGAACCCUAACUAGUCAACAGAGAUUUUAUGGUACGGGACUGGUUACGUAAAAGGAAUGAUAUUAUCACCCUUUAAACAUUCUGCCUGAGGCAAACUGCAUUGCUGAUUUUUUCUUAAAUUGCUAAACAUUUAUUCGCUUAUGCUAUGAUGAUUUGUUUAUAAUAUUCCUGACUCUGACGCUAGUGAAUAUUCGAUCUUUAAAUAAUUCCAACUCUGGCGUUGGUAAAAAUUCCACCAUGAAUAAUUCCAAUUCUGGUGUUGAUAAAAAAAAAAUUUCACCAUGAAUAAUUCCAACUCUGACAUUGGUAAAAAUUCCACCACAAAUAAUUCCAACUCUAGCAUUGGUACAAAUUCAUGGCUAUGAAAAAAUCAAUAUAUUUUCUUUUUUAUUCAUGACCCCGAUAUCAUUGAAUAAGUUGAUAAAAAUACAUAUAUUUUUUAAGAUAUGCAAAAAAUUUUAUUUCAAAACUUUCUACUUUUUUUUUGUUUUUUAUAUUUUUUUUAGUUUUGGGCUAAUAUUUUUUUUUUUGAGCUGGUCAUAUGGGCUGGGCCACCGGCACGCGUGGUUCAAACCACGCGUGCAAUGCGAAGGCUUACCUGGCGAUUCGAAGGCGCAGGCGACAGCAACAGAUCGAGCACUCCCGGAGAAUUCUAUCUUCCUCCUCCUCUCAGUCCCUUCCCCUCUGUUCGUGUGUUUCUGUUUGUUGGGUUUUUUUUUCUUACCGUCUGCUCUCCUCUGCUUUCCUCUUCUGUUCGUGUUCUCUGCCUUCUCACCGCUGCGUUCACUGUUCUCCCUUCUUCUCAGUUCUUGAGGUGAGCUAACUAAGAAAGUAAUGCAUAUGCCAUCUUUACUGAGUUUUUUUACUGACUUCGGGUUCUUCUUUUUCUGCAGGGACGAAGACAGUAACAAGGCUGAUUCUUCUCUGUGUUGCCCCUCCCUUUUCUCCUUCUCUCUGUGAAUUUGUGCUUUGGAUUUAUGCUCUGCUUUUCUCUCUCUUCUUUUCUCUGAUUUUGUUCUCUGGUUUUUCGUCUGGGUUUAGCUAGAGUUUUUCCUCGGUUUCUCGUCCAAAAUCCCACUGUUUUCCCUCCUUUCAGCCCCCGGUUUUUCUUCCUUUUUCCCCUCCCGCGCUCUCUCGUCUCUCUGGCUUUAUAACCAGAGAAUACCAACCAUUUGAAACGGCUUCAAAGCCAUUACUGCUAGAAACGGCUCCUGAGGAUGAAGGCGAUGAACAGCUUCUAAAAACGGUGUCGUUUGUGUGAUGGGAAUGGCCAUUUUCAAUCUGGUCACUGAAGUUCUAAACGCGUGCAAUCAAGCCCCUGUGUAAAUUGUAAUUGGACCCCUUUAUUUCUGCGCUUUUUACAAGCUAAUCCUUGGAUUUUAAUUUUUCAAUCUUGACCCCAAACUUUAAUAUUUCUACAAUUAAGUCCCUGAAUAAGUUAAUUCCAAGCUUAAUUAAGUCUAAAACUUGUCAAUUCUUCAAUUAAACCCUAGAUUGGAAUAAUUAUAUUAAUUCCAAGCUUAAUUAAGUCUCAAAACUUUAUCAAUUUUCCAAUUAAACCCUUGAUUAGAUUAAUUAAAUUAAUUCCAAGUUCAAUUAAGUCUUAAAACUUAUCAAUUCUCCAAUUAAACCCUUAAUUGGAUUAAUUGAAUUAAUUCCAAGCUCAAUUAAGUCUUAAAACUUAUCAAUUCUCCAAUUAAACCCUUAAUUGGAUUAAUUAUAUUAAUUUCAAAGUUUAAUUAAACCCCAAAAACUUCCAAUCAUGUUGCCCUUAAUCCAAAUUUUAAUUCAUUCUUUAUUUAUUUCAUUUUACUUGUUUUUCAUCAUUAUUAUCAUUUUUUAUCCUUUUCAGUAAAUAAAAUAAUAAUAACAAUUGUAAAUACACCGCAUUACUAAAUGUUGCCACGUUAGCUUUAAAAUUGGAGAAGUUUUUAAAAUUUUGAGUAGUACUUUAAGAUCAUUGGAAAAUGGCUAUAAAAUACAGUGCCAGAAUAACAAUAGCAAACUCAUUUCCUUUUCAUUUUUAACCUCCAUCUCUACCAUUUUCCCCAUUUUACCCAAGAUCAUUGGUGAGAUGGCCCGCGGAGCCAACGCCCCAUCUGUCCCUCCAGUGUGGGAAAGACAUGUCCUUAAUGCAACUGAACCACCUCGAGUUACAUGCAGACACCGAGCGUACGAGGAGGUAGCUGGCUCCACGAGCUCAAUUCUUACCCAUGAUCAUCUGGUUCAUCGUUCAUUUUUCUUUAGCCCUUCAUAUAACGGCUCUUCGAAGAUUGGUCCCACCUCACCUCAGCCAUUGUUCUAGUUUCGAAAUAUUAACGGCAUGUCUUUGGAUAUGUCGGACCAUUGCCCUCCAACCAGAUCCUAAUGAAGAAAUGCGCAUAAUUUGCCUCGUCAACGCACGUGAAAAAUUCAACCCUCCAUUAUUACCAAGAGGUUACUAUGGUAAUGGUUUUGGUCUUCUAGCAGCAGUAGCCACUGCGGGGGAACUUUCGAGAAAGCCAAUUGGAUAUGCUUUGGAGCUGGUAAGGAAGGCUAAGGCGGACAUGACUGAGGAGUACUUGCGAUCCACAGCAUCGUUGAUGGUGAGCAAGGGAAGGCCUCUUUUUACUGUGCCAGGGACCUACAUAGUGUCGGACUUGAGACGUGCCGGACUUGAAAAGGUAGAUUUCGGAUGGGGAAAUGCUAUCUAUGGUGGGACUGCAAAAGCCAUCCCUGAACUUGCAAGCUUUUAUAUUCCGUUUACAAAUAAGAAAGGAGAAGAUGGGAUCGUUGUACCAUUUUGUUUGCCAUCUCCUGCUGUGGAAAGAUUUUACAAGGAGCUUGAAGGCAUGCUAAAGGGACAGCUAGUUAGCGGAGGAGCAAAUUCCAAGUUAAUCGUAUCUUCUUUAUAGGUUAAAUUGUUUACUCUUAUUUUCUAUGUACCACAUAUCAUUUAUGUAUGCUGCGUUUGAAUUUCAUUUUUUAAUAUUAGUACGACAUUUACCUUUUAUGUCCAUUCAGCAUGUGUUAUAUAUGAUUAUUAAUAAUAUGAGUGUUUGUUUUUGUAAUUCUUUUUAUGGCUGUUAUUUAAAAAAAAUAAUUUAAAUUGUAGUUGGAUAUCAAAUAAUCAAAGAGGAUAUUAAUUUUUUUUCAUACAUGACAUUAAACAUUUAAUAUAUAAGUAAGAUCAACUACUUGUAACAUAAAAACUUUUAUAAUUCUCUCAUCAAACUUAAAGUAGUUUGACAAGAAUGAUGAUUGUUGUUGAAACAUUAUUUUAUAGGUUUUACAAUCAUUUAUGGCAAAAAAAAAAAAAAACCAACGACACACAACAUCUAUAACUGAGGUUUUAAGAAGAGAAGAGGUCAAUGGAAGAAAUUGUGAACUAUUGAUAGAAUCAAGAAGACGAUAAGAAGCAGGUCAGGAAGAGUAGAGAGGAGAGGAGGGAUAUUUUGGUCAAGAGAUAAUUGAACGGUCUUCAAUGUUCCAUAAGUAAGUAUGAACCUAUAUUGUGGGACCAUAAUUAUUAUAUGGGUCUUACAUUCUUCAACCAACAUUUUAAAUGUUUUUCAGAGAAUCAUUAAUUGAGGAUGCGCCACAUCAUAUUUUCUACUACAAAAAUAAAUACAUUCAUAAACACACGGUUGACAAAUUUAUGCUUGAAGAAAAGGACUCCAUUUCAUAUUUAUAACCGAUGGACUUUUUCCUAAUUCUUACACAUGAUCAUCUGGCUCAUCCUUCGUUUUUCUUUAGCCCUUCAGAUAUAACUGCUCUUCGAAGAUUGGUCUCACCUCACCUCAGCCAUGUUCUAGUUUCGAAAUAUUAACGGCAUGUCUUUGGAUAUGUCGGACCAUUGCCUCCAACCAGAUCCUAAGAUAAUGAAGAAAGCUUCAUAAUUUGCCCUCGUCAACGCACGUGAAAAUUCAACCCUCCAUUAUUACCAAGAGGUUACUAUGUAAUGGUUUUUUCUUCUAGCAGCAGUAGCGACUGCAGGUGAACUUUUGAAUGACCAAAGGUCAUUUUGGAUCAUGUAAUCUACAGGAUCCACGGCUAUGUUAGGUCCUGCAGAGAGGCAUACCCAAGGUUAUGUUGGGUCCUCCAGUCUCUAUAACCUGAAGCUAGUUUAGGUUCUACCCGACUCCCCAGACUCAAAGCUAUUUUGGAUUCUAUACCCGGCCAAACCCUAUGCUAUUUUGAGUCUUGCCCCGAUCUAACCCAAGGCUAUUCUUGGUCCUGCAGAGGCUAGGAUCCAAGGAUAUUUAGGGUUUUGCCCGGCCGGAACCAAAACUAUUUUGAGUUUUGUCCAACUCGAAUCCAUAGUUAUUAAGGUCCUGAACCAGCCAGAACCCAAAUCUAUUUGGGUUCUGCAUAAUAUUGGACCCAACAUAGAUUUUAUAGUAUUAAUAAUAAGAGUAAACAGAUAAGGGAGGAAGAAAUUAUUAAGGGAGCAAGAAAUACUGAUGCAUAUCAAACACUACGAAGUCUAUCAAGCCAUCAUAAGAGUAGACAAAUAGCAAAAUUAUAAGCUAUUAUAUUGGUGAAACCUACCAUGAUUAUUUGUAUGUUCUGAUAUAUAUAUAUAUAUAUAUAUAUAUAUAUAUAUAUAUUUUAUAGUUGUUAUAGUUACUAUAAAAUUACUUUCAAAAUUUUAUUAGAAAAAUGAUCUCAAAAUUUUAAUUUCAAAUCGUAAUCUUUCUUGUUAGUGCAAGUUGAGGAGGAAAAAGUAACAUCAUAAAUGUUAUAUUUAUUAGGUUUAAUAUUAUGUUCCUGUUUUGGGUUGAUGAUCUAACAAUUCCAAUCCACUAGUCAAAUAGGCAUAAUUCGAUAAUACAUCUAGGUAUACGCUGUCUAAUUAAUUAUGCAAAUUGGCAGGUGUCACGACUCAUGUGUGGUGGUUUUCUCUUUGUCCUCCGCCUCAACCAUACCAUGAGUGAUGGCCCAGGAUUAGUGCAAUUCAUGGCAGCGGUGGCUGAGAUGGCCCGCGGAGCCAACGCCCCUUGACAUGUCCUUAAUGCUACUGACCCAUUGUUAUCAAUUCUGUUUUUUUCAUAAGACUUUUGUUUUUUUCAAUUGAAAUGUAAUGUUUUGUUUUAGAGUGUUUGACGUGUCGUUUCAGGAUUGUAUUGUUCAUACACAAACAUAUAUAUAUAUUCUCAACAAACCUAAUUCAAAUUCAAGAUAAAUUAAUUAUAAAUUAUGCAAUACAAACACAAUACCAGAUAAAUAUAAUUUUAAAAUUUAAAUUUUUUUCUAAAUAGUCAAGAUUAAAUAAAUUUUUAACUUAAAGUAAUUCAACUUAAACAAAAUAUCAAAAUAUUAUAAAAGUAAAAUGUUUUAACACAAAUAUUUUAAAUAUAAAGUUAGGUCAAUGUUAUCAAGGCUAAUGGAAUCUAAAGCAUUCCUUGUUUUGCUCAAAUUCCUGUAGUAUAAACAUGAAAAAAACAACAUGAAUAUAAACCAUAUAUAUUAGUGAUAAAUCUAAUUUUAAAAAAUUAAUAUUAUCGUCAAUGAAAAUAGUAAUGAAAAAGAACUUUUUAUACUUGAGUGGUUUAAUUAAUUAAAUUGAACAAUGUUCAAAUUGAUUCAAUGGCUUUUCAAGAGUAGAACGAAACAUGUGGAAUGAAACCGGAAUGUUCCGGCCGAAAUUUAGUCAAAAAAUCCGGAACGGACAAAGAUUUAAAAUGAAACGAAAAUUAUUUUGUUUUGUUUCAUUUUUUAAAUUGAUAUAGAAUAUUUUGAUCAUUUCAGAUAAAACAGAAUGAAAUUAAUAACCUUACCUCGAGUUGCAUGUAGACACCGAGCGUACGAGGAGGUAGCUGGCUCUAAGAGCUCAAUUCUUACACAUGAUCAUCUGGCUCAUCGUUCAUUUUUCUUUAGCCCUUCAUAUAUAACUGCUCUUCGAAGAUUGGUCCCACCUCACCUUAGCCAUUGUUCUAGUUUCGAAAUAUUAACGGCAUGUGUUUGGAUAUGUCGGACCAUUGCCCUCCAACCAGAUCCUAAUGAAGAAAUGCGCAUAAUUUGCCUCGUCAACGCACGUGAAAAAUUUAACCCUCCAUUAUUACCAAGAUGUUACUAUGGUAAUGGUUUUUUUUUUUCUAACAGUAGUAGCGACUGUAAGGGAACUUUCGAAUGACCCAAGGCCAUUUUGGAUCAUGUAAUCUGGAGGAUCCUUGGCUAUGUUAGGUCAUGCAAAGAGGCCAUAUCCUUGGCUAUGUUAGGUCCUGCAGUCUCUAUUUUAGAUCUUGCACCGGACCGAGACUAUUUUGGGUCUAACCCAACUCCCUAGACCCCAAGCUAUUUUGGAUUUUGCACCCGGCCAAACCCCAUGCUAUUUUGGCCUCGACACGACCCAAGGCUAUUCUUGGUCCUGCAGAGGCCAGGACCCAAGGAUAUUUGGGGUCCUGCCAAAGGCUAUUUUGGGUCCUGUCCAAUCGGAACCAAGUCUAUUUUGGGUCUUGCCCAACUCGAAUCCAAGGCUAUUAAGGUCCUGACCCAGCCAGAAACCAAAUCUAUUUUGGGUUCUGCAUAAUGUUAGACCCAACAUAGAUUUUAUAGUAUUAAUAAUAAUAUUUAACUUGCCUAUUCAAGUUUUAAUUUUUUUAAUUAAUUUUAAAAAAUAUAUGGCUUUUCUUCGAUAGUAAUAAUAUUUUUUAAUUUACUAAUGAUAAUAAUAAUAUUUCAAAUAAUAAUAUUUUUUAGUAAUAUUUUGAAUUAUAAUAAAAAUAAUAAUACUAUAACAUGUUUAAUUCAAGAAAUAAAUAAUUAAUCAACUAGGUUGAAGAAUAUUAAUCGAUUAAGGAACUAGACUGCAAGAGUUUAAAUUCACAGGAAUGACUAAUAGGUUCAAUUCUACUCUAAAUGAGAAUUCUUUAUAGAUAAAACUAAUCAAGUCAUUUAGCGUAGUUAGAAAUUCACAUGAUUAUUAGUAAAUAAAAAAUUUAGUUUGUAUUAGGAUUCAAUAUAGCUCGUUAUCUUAUAUAGAUUACAUAUAUUUUUUAAUAUUAUGAUUAAAUUAAAAUAUUUUAAUCUCUAUAUAUAUAUGAUAAGGAGCUAUAUUGCAUCUUAAUACUAUAUAAACAAGCUCUUUGAGAUUCCUAACAAAGCUAUAUUGAAUCCUAAUACUAUAUAACUAAUCUCUAUGGUUCGGUAAAAUCAAAUUUAAUUUUUUUAAUUUUUUUUAUUGAAUUCCUUGUGGCUAAUGUCAUAACCCAAUUUUUGACCCUUUUAUUUUAAUUAUUUUAUUUACUGAAAAAAUAAUGAAAAACAAGUAAAAAUAGAAUAAAUAAAGAAUGAAUUAAAAUUUGGGUUAAGGGCAACAUCAUAACAUCAUUGGAAGUUUAAAGAUUUAAUUAAAUUUAUGACUAGUUUAAUUAAUCAAAUCAAGGGUUUAAUUGGAGAGGUGAUAAGUUUUGAGACUUAAUUAAGCUUAGAAUUAAUUUAAUUAAUCCAAUCAAGGGUUUAAUUGAAAAAUUAUCAAAGUAUAAGGCUGAUUCUGGUAAAGUUUGCAAGAAAUUAACAUCCAGGGACUGUUUUGUAAAAUUCACUGAAAUACAGGGGUCCAAUUAAAGUUUAUCCAAGGGCUUAAUGAAAAAAACUUUCAAAACGUCAAGGACCAAAACGCAAAAUAACCUUAACACUGUUCAUCUUCUUCACCCGAAAAAAAGAAAACUGCUGCCUUUACUCCUGCAUUAAAGACAGAGAGCACGGGACCGCAUGGCAUUCUAAGGGAGGAUAAAACCAGGAAAAAACGGCUGGAGGAGAGGAGACAGAACCAAGGGGCCAAGGGGAGAGAAACAGAACCAGGGAAGAUUUUGGUCCAUCAACCAGCAGCUCCUCGUGCUUUUACCACCAUCGUCUACAUCUUGAACGUAGAAGACUAGGCAGAGAAACAGGGGGGCAGACUAAAAAACUGGGGAAACAGAGAGACAAAGAGACUGGGAAUGAAAAAAAACAAUGAGGGGCUGACUGGAGAAAGCUUCAAUAGAGAGAGCAACGAGAACCAGAGGCAAAAAAAAAAAAACCAGGAGGCAGAGAAAGAAAAAGGAAAAGACGCAGGGGAAUGGGGACGAGGAAGACGAAAACGGGUUAGACAUAGAGAAGAUAAAACACAGGGCAUAAAACGCAAGAGAAGAACCCCUAUCUCCUCCCUCUGUUCAGAACUCCAUCACCAUCACCAUCGACCAUUGUCUUCGUCUUCGUCUUCCAAUAAUAGCACAAGCAGCAGCAUAGGAAAGAAGGACUCGAGAAGACACAGAAAAACAGAAACAGAGGAAGCAGCAGCAAUCGGGCAAGCCUCCGUCACCAUCAACCUCGUCUUCGCCUUCACCCCGCAGCUGCACCCGCCCCAACAGCUCUUUCCCCCAUCGUACUCUGGAGGCCAACGUCCACCAGCUCCUUAAUCGUGAGAGGUUUCUUCUCCGCUGUGAACAACAAGUUGAAUCGCCUGCCGGGAACAUCGUCUCCCUCAGCUUUGCCAGGUAAGUUCUUCAGCUUUCCUUCUUUAGGUAAAUUAAUUACCCUGCUACUGUUGCAUGCAUGCGUGAGUGAUUCACGCAUGCAUGCAACAGUGGCCAACCGAGUCACUGGUCUAAACCAGUGACCCAACCUUUUUUUUUAGACCAUGCUACAUAAAUAAAUAAAUAAAAUUGUUUCUUUUAAUAUAGAAUUUUACGGAUUUAUUUAUUAGCAUCAGAGUCAGGAAUACCGUACUUUUUGGGUUGCUCUAUAUUUAUCAACGUCAGAGUUGGAAAUAUUCAUAGGUGAAUAUUCACUGACGCCAAAGUCAAGAAUAAUAAUAUUGAUUUAAAUUAUUUUAUUUUUAUACUACGUAAUAUUUACCAAUGCCAGAGUUAGAAAUAUCCGUAGUUGAAUAUUCACUGGCGCAAGAGUCGGGAAUAUUAUAAGAAAAUAAUCAUAGCAUAAACUAAUAAACACUUAGCAAUUUAAGACGAAAUCAACAAUGCAUCUUGCCUCAAGCAGGAUGUUUAAGGGGUGAUAAUAUCUUUUCUUUUACGUAACCAGCCUCGAACCAUAUAAUCUCUGUUGACCAGUUAGGGUUCCUAGUGACCAUAAUACUAGGUGACUACUCUUUAAACAAAACAUUUUCUCCUAAAAGAACAAGAUCCCAGAAAUUUAUUCUUUUUCCAUAAUUCGAUCAUCAUUUUUAGGGACGCCGUGAUGUCGGGUGUAACAGCUAAUUUAAUGAGUUAUUAUUGAAAUUUGUAAUGGAAAAAAAUUUUUGGCAACAAAAAUUUUAAAUUUUAUUGAUUUUGCUUCUAAUUGAAUCUUUUUGUGGUAAAUUUAAUGAGUUAUUGGUUAAAUUUAUAAUAGAAAAGUAAACUUCAAAGAAAGAGAAAUUUGUAUGUAUAAUUCUUGAUUUAUUAUUUUAAAAACAUGUAUUAACUUUUUAGUUUACAAUUAAUUGUUUUCUAGAUAACCAAAAAAAAAUACAUUAACAAUAUCCACAAUUUUUUUUCUUGCAUUGAACAAUAAAAAAAUGCUCCAUCUCACAACGUUGAGCAAGUAGGCUAACACACACACACACACACAAGAAAUAUAGGGCAUGGAAAAAAUGCUAUAGCACUAGACACGAAUUACUAUUAAUGUAGUAGUGAAUAGAUGAUUUUUCCUUUCAUCAAAUUAGCUUAGAAGACUAAACUCCGGGGAAAAAAAUGAUUUUUUACAUGUUAUCCAUUUGUUAUUUUUGUUUUGAUUAGGGGUACAAUGAUAUUUUCCUUUUCUUUUUUGAUUAGUAAAAUACUUUCACUACCCUUAAAAGUAAAAAAAAAUAAAAAAAAUCAGAUAAUUAGUCUCCUGGUUGUUUUUUUUAAAAGAUUUUACAUUUUCUAGCACAAUGCAUUUUCUAAGAUAACCUUUCGAUAUAUAUAUAUAUAUAUUUUUUUUUUUUUUUUUUUCAAUCUCGUAACUUGAUGUUGAUUUUGAUUUUUAUUAGAAUAGGCUUUAUGGUUUUCUUUGUUUUUUUAUAGGGUUAUCUCGAUCUCAUGACGUAAUUUAUGAGUUUAACGGGUUAACCUAAGUGGGCUCGCAUCUUUUUAUUUUAGUUUUAAUUAUUUUUUUCUUUUGGAUUUUUUAUAUAAUUGAUUUUUUUUUAUCCUUCAAUAUUUGAUUUGUUAGGAGGUGAUCUUCAUUUUUUUUCCAUGUUAGUGUUUCCGGUCAAAUUGUCUGAGACAUAAGUUUUAUGGGUUAACACGGAUCAACAUUGUUUUUUUUUUUUUUUCAUGAUUCAACAUUGAUUUUUAUCAUUUGAUAUUAUUUUUUUCUCUUUCUUUAAAAUACAUUUGUGUUGACUGAACCUUAAAUGUUUUCUUAGUUUUUUUAUUCGACUUGCAGCAGAAUAUGGGUAGCGUGUAGAGAAUGAGACUGUGCUUGAAGAAAAGUACUCAAUUCCAAAUUUAUAAUUGUUGGAUAUUUUUUUUAAUUCUACCAUAACCGACAACUAUGUGAUGCGACCUGCCUACCUACUGAUUCAAAUUAACCAAGCUUCAUAUUUAUGUUUGAAUUGAUAGAUUAAUUAAUCCGCGAUUGACGAGGGAUAGGGAAAAAGAAAAACCAAACACAUACUUAGUAGAAAAUGAGAAAUGAUUGAAUGACACAAUUUCAAUUUGUGUGUUAACAUCAAUAUUCACAUGUGAAAUCGAUAAUAAUAUACUUAAAUAAGAAAAAAAAAACUAAAAUCAAUCAUGAAUAGUAUACCAACAAAAAUUGAAAAGUUUUAAUUAAUCAAGAAAAUCCAAAAGAAAUUGAUCAUAAGACCAAGUGUCAUGAUAUACAAAAAAAUAUGAUCGAUUGUAAGUAUUAAAAUUUAUAUGAAUGACUAGAAGGCUAAAUCCUACUCAGAGUUGGAAUCUCUUAUAAUUUAAAUUGACAAAGUUGUUUAGCUUAAAUAGGAAUUCACGUGAUUAUCAACAAAUGAAAGUUUAGCUUGUAUUAAAAAUUCAAUAUACAUUCUUAUCUUAUAUAUGUUACCAAUACAAUAUUAGAAUUAUAUACUUAGAUUAAACUUCUAACACUAUAUCCAUUAAAAUAGGGUCAUCCAACUACUAGAAAAAAUAGCUAGCCCCAUAAAUGUCAUUGCUUUUAUUUACAACUUUAUAUUUUUUUUUUGUUGCUUUCAAAUCAUUUUCUUGUUUACCUAUUGUUCUUCUCAUGUGAUGUUGCUUAGGAUAGAUAUGUAUUUUUUAAGAUUUAAAAUCUUGAAAUACCCACAAUUUAUUUAAUUUUAUGAGACUAUUACUUGUCUUUGCUUAUGUUCCUAGUUGUAGUUUCUUCUUAUUAGAAAGAAGAAAUUGAUAAUAGGUUACAUAAUUGAUCAGAAUAUUAAUAAUUAGUUAAUUAUGCUAUUUAAUAUGCCAUAUAGCCAGUUGGUUGGUUAGACAUAAUAUUAUUAUAUUCAUAUAAAUAUAUAUUUAUUAUCAAUAAAGACUUAAUGUAUCUUUAAUAUUCAUAUAAUAUAAGAUUAAUGAAUCUAGAGUAAAGAUAAAGUCUAUGAGAAAAAAUUAUUUUACAAAGAGAAUUAUAAAGUUGUUAUAAUUAUAGGAUUCCUAUUACAUCAAAACAUUAAUUCUAAAAUGUUCAUGGUUGAUACUCUCUUAAAUAUUGGACAUUCAUUAAAGCUGUAAAGAUUGAUACAUAUUAUGUUAUUUUCUUUAUGAAAGGAAGUACUUAUUCUCAUAAGUUAAGGUAUAAAUGAUACCUAUAACUAAUAGUAGUGACUGAGAAAUCCUUGGCCAAGGUGAAAUGAAAUUUGAAAAGAGUUUCAAAUCUUAUUCAAAUGAUCAAUGACUAUUAUGUAAAGAAUAAAUAUUAUUUAACAUGGUAGAUAUACUAUAUGCUUUAAUGUUAAAUUGAAAUAUUAUUGAUGAAAGGAUAUUAAUUACACUAAGAAAUCGAUCACUGAAAGGUUAAUUCAAAUCACUAAUGACUUUUCUAAUAUUUGGAGGAUCAUGACACGUUACAAGACGAUACACAUAAUCUUCAAAUAAAAAUUAAUCAAUUAUUGAAUUCAUAAUAAAUUAAAUUUUUUAAUUUAUUUAAUUAUAAUUAUAAUUUAUAUUUGGCGUAACAUAUUAGGAACCUAAUAGGACACACACAUUAAGAACCAUUAGUCAGAAAUUAAACUCGAAUGAUUUAAUUAAGUAUGACUUGAUUAAAAUAUAUUUUAGAAAUCAAGGACUAAAAUAUAGUUAAUACAUAGAUUAUAUUUCUAGACUUAAAAAAAUAAAGUACGGACUUAAUUGAGUUAAUUUCUUAAAUUAUCCUAAAUUAAUAUAUGAAAAUUUUUCAUGAGGCAAAUUGAUAUUUUAUCAAUUUAUAGAUUGUUUCAUAUUUCUCUAUAAAUAGUAAGUUAUGCCUCUUAUUUAGGGUAGUUGUCUGUUAGAAAGAAAAACUAUGUAAACAUAAUAAUAGAGUUAACACUCUAAGCAUAGUGUUUACUAAGAUGCGUCUUAAGAGUCACUUUAACAAAAUAACUCCUUUUACUCUGCCAUCCUAGUAACAACAGUUUUGCAAAUAGUUUAUGAAAUAGAAAACACAGUUUUUUUUUUUUUAACUACUACCCUUUCCCCCCAACCAAAAUGAGACAUUGUCCUCAAUGUCUUAAGGUAGAAAGAUAGAGUAUAGAAGACAUCACCUGAAAUAGCGAACACUGACAAACCUGAAACACACUUACACAAAUAUAAGAAACCACAAAACACAAUAAUAAAACCAAAAGACACAAAGUUUUUACAAACGAAGACUCAAAUCCAAUCUAAGCUUUUUACGGCUUUCCUUAGUUGACCAAUUUAGCGACUCAUGGAGGGAUCAAUUACAGGGAUGAAAGAUUGUAGUUGGUCAAUCAAUUGUUCAGCAGUAGCAGCAGAGAUUAUGAUUUGUCGUGCCGAAGAUGUUAGAAAUUCCUGUUCCACAGCUUGAUCAAGGAAAGACAACAACUUAUCAUAAAAACCAUUAACAUUUAACAAACCUAUGGGUUUAUGGUGAAUGUGCAGUUGGGCCCAAAGGAAAUAUGAAAGAUCUCUUCCAAUGUGCCCAGACCACCUGGUAAGGCAAUGAAGGCAUCAGCAUGGUUAAACAUGGUAUUCAGUCGAUCAGACAUUGUGGGACUGUAUUCCUCUCCAAUUGUUUUUCCAAUGAUGUCCCCUUGUGCUAAAGCUUUGGGGACAACCCCCAAAACUUGACUGCCUCCUAAAAAUGCAGCCAUUGACACUCCCAUUAACCCAAGGCUGCCUCCCCAUACACUAAAUGAAUCUUUCGCUCAGCUAGUACCGACCAAGAUGAUUUGCUGAUUCUAAAAACUCUUUUUCUUUCCCAGGACUGGAUCCACCAAAAACACAAAUUUUUUAUGUGAUGACUUGAGGAACCUGCCAUUUCUACACACUAUAUUUGAUGAAUGUAUGGGUUGAGUAGAAAUGAAGGGAAGGAAGAGAAGAAUUUAUAGAUGAGAAAUUGAAAAUGCAAUCAUACCACCUAUAUGUAGGCCAGCUGUAGUCUCACAAACUCUCUCUCUCUCUCUCUCUCUUUAUUAAUUAUUUAUUUUGAAAAAGCAUGUAUGUACAGGUAGUUGUGAUUGUGGCUCACAUCUUCCCUUGGUUUUACGUCCAAGAACGGCUUAAACGCCCUCUAUGGGUCGGGGAUAGGCUUCCCAUCCAGUUUUCUUAAAAACUGGCAAACAGGGUCUUUUUUAGUCAGAUUCCCAAGACUAAGUCGAUCAUGUUCUUUAUGGAAUUGUGGCCAUAAAUCAUGAAUUACACGAUGCACAUCUCCACUAGGAUGCGUCUCAAGUCAAAAAAAGAUUAUCUAAAGACCCCUUACUCAGGCCAUCCUUAAUGAAUUGUAUCUUAUCUUCACGGUUUACAGAUACCAUUCCUAAAGAACGACAUGUCGCAUUACAAGUCCAUCUGGCACAUCUGUGACAGACUUUCAGUCGUUUUGCACGACGUUUCUUUGCAAAAGUGCUUUUACCUGUUCCAGGCAUGUGUGAAAUGAAAGAAUUGGAGGACUCACCUGAUAAUCGGACCUUUGCUUCAAUUAGCCAGCGAAUAUCUUCAGGAAUUCCAUGAUUCAUUAACAACCUCAAUCUUGCACACCUAGCACGGUAAAUUUUGUAAUCGCAUUUGAGGCAGAGCGGGAAAAUACUUUUCAACUUUUCAAGAGUGGUGUCCAUUUUCAAAGAGAAUUGGGAGAGAUUCAAAGAAGGAGAAAGAGCAAGAAUUGCACAAAUAUACACAGAUAUCAGUUAUUUGGGAAACUGAAAGAACCGACUUAAGUCACGGAGUACCGUUAUCCGCCAUUUGACCGGGGUGAGAGAGACUAGCAAAACAAAAGUCACACAAAAACAAUGUGAGAAAAAGAAUCAAUCUUUAUAUACAGGAUCACUCAAUUCAAUAGAGUCAUUUUCAACUGAAAAAUUGUCAAAAUAAACUUUCAAACGAUGCCCAUUUACCUUGAAAACAUUGCCAUUCUUUGGAUUUCAAUAUCACAGGCCCCAUAUGGAUACACAUGUUUCACAAUAAAAGGACCGCUCCAUCUUGAUCUUAGUUUUCCAGGAAAUAAAUGGAGUCGAGAAUUAUAAAGCAAGACUUUUUGACCAACAUUGAAUGUUUUUCUCAGUAUUUUCUUGUCAUGAAACUCUUUGAUUCUUGCUUUAUGAAUUCUUGAAUUGUCAUAUGCAUCAUUUCUUAUUUCCUCAAGCUCAUUUAUUUGCAAUUUUCGCAGCUGACUAGCAUCAUCAAGGUUUGAAUUGAAAGCUUUAAUAGCCCAAUAAGCUUUAUGUUCAAUUUCCACAGGCAAGUGACAAGGUUUUCCAUAGACUAGUCUAUAAGGUGACAUACCUAAUGAUGUUUUAUAAGCAGUUCGAUAAGCCCAAAGUGCAUCAUUAAGUCUUAAAGACCAGUCUUUCCUAUUAGGGUUCACUGUUUUCUCCAAGAUCUGUUUGAUCUCCCUAUUAGCAAGUUCUACUUGUCCACUUGUCUGAGGGUGAUAAGGGGUGGCAACUUUGUGUGAUUCCAUAUUUCUUCAUUAAAGACUCAAAUGGCUUGUUGCAGAAAUGUGUUCCACCAUCACUUAUCAUGGCUCGAGGGAUUCCAAAUCGACUUAAAAUGUUUUCUUUCAAAAACUUUAUCACUGUUUUGUGAUCAUUGGUUCGACUUGGAAUUGCCUCUAUCCAUUUUGAAACAUAAUCUACUGCGACCAAUAUGUACAAGAAACCAAAUGAUGGAGGAAAUGGACCCAUAAAAUCUAUACCCCAAAUCAAAGAUCUCAAUGACAAGAAUAGGAUUUAAAGGCAUCAUGUGACGUUUUGAAAUAGAUCCCAACUUUUGACAAUUUUCACAAGUCUUGCAGAAUGCAUGUGAGUCUUUGAACAUGGUGGGCCAGUAAAAUCCACUUUGUAAGAUUUUUGCAGUUGUCUUUCUUGAUGAGAAAUGACCCCCACAUGCCUCAGAAUGACAAAAUUUAAUGACACUACUUACCUCAUUGUCAGGAAUGCAUCUUCGAAAUAUUUGAUCAGGACAAUAUUUGAAUAAAUAAGGGUCAUCCCAAUAAAAGUUCUUCACUUCGUUCAAGAACUUUCUUUUGUCUUGGGUACUCCAAUGAGCUGGCAAUUGUCCUGAAACAAGAAAAUUAACAAUAUUAGCAAACCAAGGCAUCGUAGAGACAGAAAAUAAAGAUUCAUCAGGAAAGUAGUCAUCGAUUGGUGUGAUGUCAGAUCUCGAAUCGGUUGUCAAUCUUGACAAAUGAUCCGCGACAACAUUUUCGGUGCCUUUCUUGUCUUUGAUUGUGAUAUCAAAUUCUUGAAGUAACAAAAUCCACCGCACCAAUCUAGCCUUAGAAUCUUUCUUAGAGAGAAGAUAUUUCAAUGCUGCAUGAUCACUAAAAACAACAACAGGUGAGCCAACAAGAUAAGAUCUGAACUUGUCACAUGCAAAUACUACUGCAAGUAAUUCUUUUUCAGUGGUAGUGUAAUUCAUUUGAGCACUAUUUAAAGUUUUACUUGCAUAGUAAAUCACAUAAGGUUUCUUAUCUUUUCUUUGUCCCAAGACAGCACCCACGGCAUAAUCACUAGCGUCACACAUUAUUUCAAAAGGUAAUGACCAAUCAGGAGGUUGAAUGACAGGAGCAGAAGUAAGCAAGCUUUUAAGUUUAACAAAGGCUUUUCACAAUGUUCAGUCCAUUCAAAAACAUUUAUCCUUUGUUAGAAGGUUACACAAUGGCUUAGAUAUUACACUAAAAUCUUUGAUGAACCUUCUGUAAAAACCAGCAUGUCCUAAGAAUGAUCUAACAUCUUUAACAGAUUUUGGUGUUGGUAAGUUGGCAAUUAACUCGAUUUUAGAUUUGUCAACCUCAAUUCCUUUCGAUGAAACAAUGUGACCAAGUACAAUGCCGUUUGUUACCAUAAAGUGACAUUUUUCCCAAUUCAGUACAAGAUUCUUCUCUUCACACCUGUUCAAAACCUUUUCAAGUUAGUUAAACAAUCAUCAAAUGAAUCACCAAAAACAGAAAAAUCAUCCAUAAAAAUCUCAAGAAAACGUUCAACCAUAUCACUGAAUAUGCUAAGCAUGCAUCUUUGAAACGUGGCUGGUGCAUUACAUAAUCCAAAAGGCAUCCUUCGAUAUGCAAAAGUACCAAAUGGACAUGUGAAAGUAGUCUUCUCUUGAUCUUCCAAUGCAAUUUCAAUUUGAUUGUAACCUGAAUAGCCAUCUAGGAAACAAUAAAAUUCAUGACCUGCAACUCUUUCUAGGAUUUGAUCCAUGAAAGGUAAAGGGAAAUGAUCUUUUCUAGUCAUUGAAUUAAGUUUCCUAUAGUCAAUGCACAUGCGCCAACCAGUAAUAGUCCUAGUUGGAAUUAACUCAUUUUUCUCAUUUGUUAUCACAGUGACUCCAGACUUUUUGGGUACAACUUGGGUAGGACUUACCCAUUUGCUGUCAGAAAUAGGAUAAAUGAUUCCAUUAUCUAGAAGCUUAAUGACUUCAUUUUUCACUACUUCUUUCAUAUUAGGAUUAAGCCUUCGUUGCAUUUCUCUAGAUGGUUUAGCAUUUUCCUCCAAAUAAAUCUGUGUGUGCAAAUCAAAGGGCUAAUUCCUUUUAUGUCAGCUAUGGUCCAUCCUAAUGCAUUUUUGUGCAUUUUCAGAGUUUGUAAUAACUUACCUUCUUGAUGUGCAUUAAGUUUGGAAGAGAUUAUUACCGGAAAAGUUUCAUUUUCUCCCAAAAAUGAGUGUUUGAGAUUGACUAGUAACGACUUCAAAUCAAGUUUUGGUGGUUGAACACUUGAAGGUAUAGACUCAAUUGAUCGUGAUGGCAAUUCUUCAAUUUGUGGUCUCCAAUUACAUGCUAUUGCUUCUUCCUGAAAAUAAACCAUUUGCAACUCGUCAGGUUCAUCAAUCUGUUUAAUAGCAUCCAACAAAGGUAUAUUGAUCCUUACCUGUUUGAAAAUUUCAAGGAUUUCAGAAUUGUGAUUGACUUUCCUUUGUUUGGUCAUGGCAUGAGGAAAUGGAAGUGCUGGCGGAGAAUCAGUGUUUUCUUCAAAACGUUCAAAUUCAACCCCUUCCUUACCCUCAAAGAUUGACUCAUCAUCUUUCUCACAAGGUUCAAGAGUGGGUUUUUCAAUAACCUUACCACUGCGAAGAGUGAUGACUGAUUUGACUUGAUCCAUGUGUUGGCUUUCGGAACUACUUGCAUUUGUAUUGUAUUGCCCCUUUGGAUUUUGCUGUGGUUGAGAUGGAAACUUACCUUUCUCUUGAAAACUGAGAGCAGAUGUGAAUUUUACAAGAGCAUCUUUAAAAUUUGUCAUGCUUUGAGUAAGUUGACUGUUGAUUGUCUCUUGCUUUUCAAUGAAUGCAUGCAAUGUUUCCUCAAGAUUUCUUCUAGGAGGUGGAGCAUAAGGAGGUGCAUAUCCAUGAGAAUUUUGGAAAUUAUGGUGUGCUUGAAACGAUGGCUGUGAAGUUUGUGCAUUAUUGUUAUCACUCUUCCAACUGAAAUUUAGGUGAUUUCUCCAACCAGGAUUGUAUGUUUGCGAGUAUGGGUUAUGAUUGGGCCUUUGGAAACUGUUUAAGGCAUGGGCUUGUUCAUGGAGACAUUCCUUGAAAGAAGGCAAAGUUGGACAGUUAUUGGUUGCAUGUUCAUUUGUUUAACAGAUUUGACACACAAUGUCUUGAACAGAUUUUAAUUGACCACUCUUUUUCAAUUCUACUGCCUCGACUUUUCUAGCUAAAGAUGUAAACUUGGCUUGGAGGUCAUGAUCUUCCCUAAGGUUAUACAUACCUCCACUAGAUGUAUGAGGUUGGGUUUUACUUGGUGCCUCAUAAGUGCCCUUAAUGUCCCAAUUUUGCGCAUUUUCAGCUAGCAAGUCUAGGUACUCCAUUGCUUCAUUAGGGUCUUUAUCUUCAAAAGUUCCAUUGCACAUCAAUUCAACCAUGUGCCUAUCUUUAGGUGUUAAUCCUUCAUAAAAUUGUGAAACCAAUCUCCAUGUUUCAAAACCAUGAUGAGGGCAAGUAUUAAGCAAGUCUCGAUACCUAUCCCAACAUUGGUAAAAUGUUUCACUUGGUUUUUGAGUGAAAAUAGUGAUUUGUCUUUUGAAAGAGUUGGUUCUGUGAGAUGGAAAUUUUUUUUUAAAAAAUUGUUGUUGCAUUUCAUCCCAAGCACGAAUGGAUCCUGACCUAAGAUUUUGUAGCCAUGUUUUAGCUUUAUCUUUUAAUGAAAAAGGAAAAAGCUUUAAUCUAAUGGUAUUCAUGCUACAAUUUAAAUCAUUAUAGGUGUUACAAACUUCUUUAAAUUCUCUCAAAUGCAAGUAUGGAUUUUCUAGAUCUAAGCCAUGAAAAGAAGGUAAAAGUUGAAUAAUGUCUGGCUUAAAAUUAAAAUGAGAUGUAUCAGGAGGGAAAACUAUGCAUGAGGGUGCACUUGUUCUUGUGGGAUUCAUGUGGUCUCUAAGUGUCCUAACACGGUUAUUCUCAUUAUGAAGUGACUGGUUAUCUUCUUCGGUCAUAUUUUCUGAAAAUGAUGAGGAUACCCUAGAAAGUCUACCACUUAAUGUACGUGACCAAACACUCAUGCACGUGUAGAAAGAGAAUAAAAGGAAGAAGAAAACAAAAGAAAAAGAAACAACACAAAAGAAACAAAGUUAGAUACAAGAAAAGUGAAAAGAAAGAAGAAAAAAAACUAAAAUUUGUACAAGAAUUUACCUCCCCGGCAACGGCGCCAAAAACUUGACACGACCAAAAGAUUGAUGUCUUCUCCCAAGUGCAGGAGUGUCGAAGUAAUAAAUAACCCGGCAAGAUCGGGGUCGAACCAUAGAGAGGUUAAUUGUAUAAAUUAUAAAUAACAAGACAACAACAACAACAAUAAUAACAAAAAUAACAACAACAACAAUAAUAAUAAUAAUAAUAGUAAUAGUAAUAAUAAUAUUAAUAAUAGUAAUAGUAAUAAUAAUAUUAAUAGUAGUAAUAAUAAUAAUAAUAAUAAUAAUAAUAGUAGUAGUAAUAAUAAUAUUAAUAGUAAUAAUAAUAAUAAUUAUUAUAAUAUUCAGUACGUGACGUUGUUAUACCUGAGAAUGAUCUAAAAGAUCGGGUCACAGGUUUCCAGCCUAUAUACUGAGUUUAUGAAAAAAAAUCAAAGAGAUAUAUUAUAUAAUAUAAACAGAUUUCUUAUGUGAAUGAACAAGGCAAGAUCAACAAUAUCAGGAUCCUUGAUCAAACACAGAGCAUACUUAACGUACAUAAAAUAUAACAAGAAUGUAAAUAAUAAUACUAAUAAUAUUAGUAAUAAUAAUAAUAAUAAUAAUAAAAAAAAAAGUAGGAAGAAAUAAAUGAGAACUUUGAGAUGGACGAUUAAUGUAAGGAUUAAACAAUAAUAAAGACAAAUGUCAAGGUUAGAGGACCCACCAAUGGUAUUUCAAACAAGUAUAGUAUAAACUCUUAUUACUCAAUUUGGAAAAAAACCACACACGAAGGAGGUUCCAGUCGGAUGAUUUGUCAUUAAUAGCUCAUUAUAAAUUAUUAACAUUAUCAUAUUAAUUAUCUUAUUUACAUAACACCAAACUUUUAAAUAUUGCCAGGAAUUCAUGAUGUUAACUGAUGUUAACAACAAAUCAAGUACCUUUCAUAGCUCAGGUGUAGGUAAUACUAUACGGUUGGGCUAUGAGAGUGCCAAGCAUUUGUUGUACCAAGUAUUAUACAACACAAAUUUAGAUUAACCAUUUAACAAGCAAGGUAUUAAGAAUUAGUAAGAUAAAAAGAUAAGACAUGUUAAUAUUAAACAUUAAGGUCCAUGUUGAGUUUACACCAUACUUGUUCUUACACCAUUAGUGUAACCUUUUCACCUUGACAUAAUAAACUUAGCUAAACAUAAUGAAGAAGAAAACAUAAAUAAACAAAACAAGAACAUAAAUAAAAUACAAGUUAACUAAGGAAAGGAAAGGAAAUGAAAAGCAUAAACAAGAAAUUAACAAAAGCAAAACUUAAGAAUUCAAAAAAUAUAAAGAGAGAAAUAAAGAGCAUGAACUUGAUCUGAACAACCAAGCCCUAAAUUACAUGGCAAAUGCCUCCUUUUAUAGGCCAAAAUUCGGAAUUAUUGAUUUGAUGACUAAUUGUUGAGUGGGUAGACAUCUUUUGACUAGGUGAAAAUCCUUAUCUUCUUGUCUUAAUAAAACAAAAAUGCUAACAUCAGAACGGGGUCCAGAUGUCCAAAUGAAAGUUCUAGGAAACUCUCUUAGCUUUCCAGGAAAAAAACGAUGAGGUCAUUUAGACUUCUAGAACUCAAGAUAUGGGCUGAACACUGAACAGUGUUGGGCUGUAGGAUAGAUUCAGACUUCUUCGUUGUUGCUAUAAUUUGGACUUGAAAACGGCCUUCUUAGAUCUUGAUGUCCAAAUAAAAGUUGUAGGCCUAUGUCUUAUCAAAUCUCUGUAAAAAGUUCAGAUCAUUUGGAUAUCUAGAACUCGAGAUAUGGGCUGAACACUGAAUAGUGUUGGGCUGCAGGACAGAUUCGGACUUCUCCUUUCUAAGCUUCACCUUUUUUUAUCUUCAAAAUUUCAGUAGUUGUAUGCAUCAAUCAAUCCUUUGAUUUAUGUGAUAUGCCUGCAUUUAAGAUGAACAUUUACCAUAUAUUAGGGUAUUUUAUAGUAUUAGACUUGUUAUUAUAAAACAUGCUUUAGUUAAGGAGUUAUUGAUACUUUAAGUGCAAAAUGAUGAUAGAAACCCUUGAUAAACAUGCACUUUUAAGUACUAAUUGUUGUAACCCAUUUUUAGGUUCCUAAAUAAAUCAAAUAAAAUAAAUAACCAAAGGAGGUUAGAAAAAUAACAGGAGGCAGAAGCGCUCAACAAAUGGUCAGAAAAAUCGGUCAAGGAGGUUAAAAAUACAAAGAUGGAUUUUUGACAAUAUAUUAUUGAAUGAUGAGAGCCCUAUUAAGAAGGAAAUUUUAAUUUUUAGGAGAAAAGCCCAAAUUUGGAUGUUUAUGGACUUAAUUGGAUUUUUAAUUGAAUUUAUAGAGGAUUUGAGUGCAAAACAAAUUGAUUUUUAAGUCAAUUUGGGCUUUAAUUAGAAGAAAUUUAAGUUCUGGGGCCAAAAUAUAUUUUUUAGGAAUUUAUUGGGUCAAAUCAGGGGCUUAAUUGCAUAAAUAUUGAAGUUUAAUGGCCAAUUAGGGGCUUAAUGUGAAAAUCCGAAACCAGGGACCAAAUUGGAAGAGGCGCGUAAAUGGAGGGGCUGAAAUUAUUCGGUUCAGGGGCCUAAUUGAAGAAAUUGGAAGUUUAUUAAUAAAUUGAGGGCUUAAUUGCACAAAUCAGAGGCCAAGGAUUAAAAUGAAAAACGCGGCAAACUUGAGGGGUGGAGACAAAAAUUGAAAAGGAUGCAAUUGAAAAGAACAAAAAUCAAUUGAGGACUGAUUUGGAAAACAUAUUCUGGUGCCAUUUUUUUAAAUGAAACGGCGCGUUUUAUCCAAAAUGACGCCGUUUCAUACAAAAAAAAAAAGGACCGAACGGUGCCGUUUUGAACGGCACUGUUCCUCUUCCUUCUUCCUCCCUGCAAGCGUUACAGGGGAAGAAAAAAAAUGGUUUUUUUCUUUAAACUUGUCACUCUCUCUCCUCGCGCCCACCAACCCGAUGCCCUACGCCUUGGACCACCGAAACCGAAGCUACUGGCCGACCGGCCGCUCGCCCCGCCGAAAGCAAGGGAGCGGCGCCUUGCUGUCGCGGGUGGUGGCCGACCAGCCGCCCGCGAAACCCGCUCCCCAGGCGCACUAAUGAAGGGCCCAACACACUUUCUCUCCUAUAAAUAGAGAAAGAAACCGAAGGGAGGAGAGGGAGAGGAGACCGAAGAGAGAGAAAGAACUAACGAAAUAGAGGGAGAGCAGCAACAAACCGAAAACAAAUAAACCGAAACCGAAAACCGAAAACCAAAAACAAACCGAAGCGGAGAAAGCCACUGAGAACGGAAGAAAAAAGAAAGAAAGGGGAAGAGGAAGAAACUUCUCACCGCCGUUAGGAUACACAGCGACACCGCCCGGAGCCGCCGCCCACGAGCCACGCCACCGCAGCACCGCCAGCGACCGCCUCCUCCACGCCAGGUAAAUUUUCUUCUUCUCCUUCGUUUGCAGGCGUUGCCUCCUGCAUGUAGAGUUAUGCAUGCAGGAGGCGGGGGGGGGGAAGAAAAUUAAUUCUUCCCCCCUGCUGGGUUGUUGACGCUGGGCCAGCCUGAUGCUGGCCCAGCCCCUGCACGUCUGGGCCGGUCCUGGCUCAGACUGAAGAAGAAUUUUUGGUUGGGUCGAGUUCGGCCCAACCUUUCCUUGUUGGGCUGAGUCCGGCCCGUUUAUUUGGGCCGGCCCAGCCUGAAUUAUUUUUAUAUUAUAUAUUAUAUAAUAUGUUAUAAUAUAUAUGUAUAUAUAUAAAAAUAUAUAAUAAUUAAAAAAUAUAUAUUUUGAAAAAUCUUAAAAAAUAUUGUUGAUUUUUCCGCCUAUUUUUGUCAAAGUGGUUCAAUGUUGGUUUGUAUUUUUAUACCGUAAAGAUACAAAACCAGUGUUAAAAAUACCCGGUUUUCGUCAAAAUAUCAAAGAUUUUCAGAAUAAAAAAUGUUUUUGCUUAAAAAAAAAAAUUCUAAAAAGUCCCUAAAAAUGUUGUUGAUUUUUCUGCAUAUUUUUAUCAAAGUGGAUUAAUAUUGGGUUGUAUUUUUAUACCUUAAGGAUACAAGCUCAGUAUUAAAAUACCUGAUUUUCGUCAAAAGCAUAAAAAAUAAUAUUUUCCAAAAAAAAUUGUUUUUGUUUAAAAAAACGGCCUAGUCUCUCCAAUAUAUAUAUAUAAAUAUUAUAACAUCAUAUUUUCACACAACAAAGAAAAUUUUCAAAACAAUAUAUGUAUUAGCAUGCAUUUUGGCUUUAAUAACCAGUUUAUUCAAGCCAUGAGAACUAGGCCAAUAUUUCAAAAAUUAAAAAAAAAUCUUUUUUGUUUUCUUUUAGUAUUUGGGAUUACGAAUUUAUACGUAAAACGUAUUUCUAAGUAUUGUUAAUAAAGUUUUAGUAUAGACGUUAGAACGGUUAUGAUUUUACCCGAAAAGAUAAAACCUUUCUUACCGAAGAGGAUUUUUCUUGAACCAUAGAUAGAACAACAACUAGGAAAACACGAAAAUAUCUUAGAUUUUAUCAGACAAUAAAACAAUGCAGCUUAGCUUAGGUAGGGCGUAUUUGGGGUGCUAAUACUUUCCCUUUACGCAACCAGUCCCCGUACCCGAUCUUUGAGACCAAUUAGGGUUCCUAGUGACCAAAAUACUAGGUGGCGACUCCCAUUCCAUUUUCUACCAAUAAAAGACAAUAUUUUUUUGUAUCCCUAUAGAUAUAUAUAGAUUUACAUGGUAGAUUAAGAAAAUGGAAACAACUAUAUAAUUUUCGCCGCGACGCCGCACACGUGCGACACUAAUCACAUAGUGAUCCCUUUCUUCUAAAUAAGAAUUUAGAAGAUUUUUCAUAAAUGGUUUGUGUGGAUUACCAUUGAAGGUCGGACAAUAAAACGGCGUGUGAUUUGUGAUAACCUGGCGUUUAAGAAAUUAUUCAAAAUCGAAAAAAAGAUUUUCAAGUAACAAAUCUCUAAGCAAUUCUAGAUCUAUCUAACAAGAUCUUAGAGACUCUAAAAUAAUUUUUUUUCACAAUUUCCAUUAUAUAUAUGAUAUUCAGGAGCCCAAAGGAUUAAUCAACUAUCAAUAGCAUAAUUGUUAAUAGAUUAAUAAUAUGCAAUUGUAAAUACACCGCAUUACUAAAUGCUGCCACGUUUGAUUUAAAAUUGGAGAAGUUUUUAAAAUUUUGAGUAGUACUUUAAGAUCAUUGGAAAAUGGCUAUAAAAUACAAUGCCAGAAUAACAAUAGCAAAUUCAUUUCCUUUUCAUUUUUAACCUCCAUCUCUACCAUUUUACACAAUAAAUUAACUUUGAAAAUCAACCUACAUGAUCAAUUCAAAUCCUAUAACAAACAAUACUUGCUUCAAACUAUCUUAAAAUUUCAUCCUUAAGUCAUAACAAUUAACAUGGACAAAAUGGAUUAAAGCCCAAGAGCAUUAAAUGCAGCAAAUGUUGGAAACAUGCUAUUGUUAAGAUAUUAGAUGUUGAGCGUGGUGAAAACAAGCUUUUUUACUAGUGUAAUUACAAUUCUUGUAAUAAAAUAUUAAUUUAUUAGUAAAAUCUUUGUAGCGGGGCAUUGCGUUGACGAGAGGUCUGCCUCCUAUGAGUAUGUAUUGGAAAGGGAUUUGGGUAUAAUCAUAAAAUUAUUAUUAUAAAAUUCAGGAAUUACCACUUAGUAUUAUAGUUACCAGAAAACUUAUGAUCUGUGAGAGUCUAGGUAAAAGACUAGUUGUGCAAGAGAAAGAUACAUCACCCCCAGUACAUCCUACCUAAGGUAAGUUACAUUGUUAUUUAAUUAUUUUUCUAGGUCGUUUUCUAUCUAUUGGUCUUGUAUUGGGUUUCCUAGUAGCCUGCAAUCAAUUACUAGGUGGCGACUCCAACGAACCAAUCAAAUCAAAGCAAAACGAGAAACGAAAAGUCGUCAAGCCCGAUGCCGCGCGGAUUUUCCGACGUGCGACAUUGUCUAUGGUUCAAGGUAGAUCUACCUACGUGAGGAAAUCUCUUCCAUAUCGGGUUAAAACCUAACUAUUCUAAAACCCAAAUUUUAGUAUCACAUUUAUUUCUUUGUAUCUUUAAUACUUAAGGGAAACUCUACUGUAUAGUUCUACACCUCCAAAUAUUAAAAUUUACAGCUAAACCUUAACAUUUUAAAUAUAAAGUGAACAAAAUGAUUGGUGAAAGGUUUUUUAUAUUUUUGCCAAACCCUAACGCAUAAUCAUGAAUUAGUUACAAUAACUAUUUUUGCAUUUUAGAACAUGAGAAAGAUACUUUUAUAUAUAUAUAUAUAUAUAUAUAUAUAAAGUGUGCAUAGAAAAAUUUUAAGGUUUGGUCAUACGGACGAAAAUAAAAUAUUUUUUAUUUUUUUAAAGAGGAAAUUAAUUUAAUUUUUUUUGUUGAAUUUUUUAAAUUUUCAAAAAAAAAUCAGAAAGGUUGUGGAGGAAACCAGAUAUUUUAAUAUCAGAUUUGUAUUUUACAAUGUUAUUAUACAACCCAAUAUUAUACAAAAUUAUUAGAAAAACAUGAGAAAAUCACAAAUAUUUUGAAAUGACCCUAGAUUUUUUUUUAAUUAUUAUUAAAUUUAAGUUGGGCUAGACUUGAAAUAGAUCCAUCCCGACUUAGUUAGGUUAGGUCGAGUAGCGGCCCAACAAACCCUUUCUCUUUUUUGUUAGUGGAUCAGACCCGACCUAGCUAUUUAAGUUGUUCAGUCAGACCUAUAUUAAUGGUAUUUUUUUCAUUUGCAUGUAUAAGAAAUUCUGCAUGCAAAUGAUUAUGAAGGUUUUGAAGGAGAAAAAAAAGAGGCAAACUUUCUUGGUUGUAGGAGAAGAGAGGUUGGUGGCGUUCCUAAACAUCCAAGGUACAUAUUUAAUAGAGAGCAUGGUAAUACUUUAAUAAUAUAUAUAUAUAUAUAUAUAUAUAUAUAUAUAUAUAUAUAUAUAUAUAUAUGCGCGCGCGCCUGUAGAAAAUAAAUAAAUUAAUUGAUAUUUGUAUUUUUUUUGUAAGUGAUUUCAUGAUGUUUGGGUUGGUAGGUUGUUUAAGGAAGUUUUUAUGGUUUAUUUGUAGUUUUUGGUAAAAAAAAAAAAAAAAGAUAAAAAAUAGAUUUUUAAGCCAACUUUCCUUCAAAUUUUUAGGCCAUCGGAUUUUAGACAACAACUACUAGUAGGCAACAGGGUCUGAAUUUUCAACUUCGAAUCUCGCAACAGAGCAAGUAAUUAAGAAACAAGGAGAGUGAAGAUGGCGAGAAAAGUUGCAGUCCGCCAAUUGUGGGGAUGGUGAUGGCAGAGUGUGCACAAGCUGGGUGUAUAAUAUUAGGCAAAGCAGCCAUGUCAAAUGGCAUGAUAUUUUUUUUUUGUAUGAAGAAAUUUGCACCAUAAAUAGAAGAUAAUAAAUAAAAAACGAAUCUAUAUAAAAACAUACAUCAAAAUGGAUUAAUUGAGGACAUUAAUACAGUGUGUUCCACCUUAUCUUCUUGAAUCAAUCAUAACCACUGAAAAUGAGGUGAUAUAAAGAUACCAACGAAUCUAUAGGAAAACAUCACCAUCUCUCGUGAAAAAAAAAAAAAAAACAAUGUUUAAAACAUGUUGCAUGAUCUCAAAUAUUCCUCUUUUUUUGUAUGAAGAAUUUUGCACCAUAAAUAAAAGAUAAUAAAAAGACCGACGAAUCUAUAGAAAAACAUAUGUCAAAAUGGAUUAAUUGAGGACAUUAAUAUAUACUUGAAGAGCUAACUUGACAACCAAAUAAUAUAUUUAUCAACGUAAAUUGUGCUAAAGCAAUAUCACUAUAUAUAACUUGCUAGUUGGUUUUAUUUUUCACAAAAAAAAUCAUUCUAUACCACAAUGGCUUCAUCACCCUCUUCUCUAGUUUUCAAAGUUCACAGACGUGAACCAGAGCUGAUCAAACCAGCGAAGCCGACCCCACAUGAGUUCAAACUGUUAUCCGACAUUGAUGACGAAGAAGGGCUUCGAUUCCACAUUCCACUCAUACAAUUCUAUCGCCACAAUCCCUCAGUGCACGGGAAAGACCCCGUCAAGGUCAUCAGAGAGGCAAUUGCUAAGACAUUAGUGUUUUACUAUCCAUUUGCCGGUAGGCUGAGGGAAGGGCAUAACCGCAAGCUCAUGGUGGAAUGCACUGGCGAGGGUAUCUUGUUUAUAGAGGCUGACGCUGAUGUUACACUUGAGCAGUUUGGUGAUCCACUUCAACCUCCAUUUCCUUGCUUGGAGGACCUCCUCUUCGAUGUGCCUGGCUCUAGCGGGGUGCUACACUGCCCUCUGUUACUUAUUCAGGUAAUUUUUCUGUAUUUUUUUCCCGCAGUUGUUAUGGUUACUAUAAAAUUACUUUCAAAAUUUUAUUAAAACAAUGAUCUCAUAAUUUUAAUUUCAAAUCGUAAUCUUUCUUGUUAGUGCAAGUUGAGGAGGAAAAAGUCACAUCAUAUAUGUUAUAUAUAUUAGGUUUAAAAUUAUGUUCCUGCUUUGUUGUGUUGAUGAUCUAAAAAUUCCAAUCCACUAGUCAAAUAGGCAUAAUUCGCUAAUACAUCCACUCAUGAAAUCAUCUAACAAUCAUCUACGUAUUUGCUGUCUAAUUUAUUAUGCAAAUUGGCAGGUGUCACGGCUCAAGUGUGGUGGUUUUCUCUUUGCUCUCCGCCUCAACCAUACCAUGAGUGAUGGCCAAGGAUUAGUGCAAUUCAUGGCAGCGGUGGCUGAGAUGGCUCGCGGAGCCAACGCCCCAUCUGUCCCUCCUGUGUGGGAAAGACAUGUCCUUAAUGCAACUGACCCACCUCGAGUUACAUGCAGACACCGAGCGUACGAGGAGGUAGCUGGCUCCACGAGCUCAAUUCUUACACAAGAUCAUCUGGUUCAUCGUUCAUUUUUCUUUAGCCCUUCAGAUAUAACUGCUCUUCGAAGAUUGGUCCCACCUCACCUC